AUUGAACGCUGGCGGAAUGCUUUACACAUGCAAGUCGAACGGCAGCACGGACUUCGGUCUGGUGGCGAGUGGCGAACGGGUGAGUAAUGUAUCGGAACGUGCCCAGUCGUGGGGGAUAACGCAGCGAAAGCUGCGCUAAUACCGCAUCCGAUCUGAGGAUGAAAGCGGGGGACCGUAAGGCCUCGCGCGAUCGGAGCGGCCGAUGUCAGAUUAGGUAGUUGGUGGGGUAAAGGCCCAACAAGCCGACGAUCUGUAGCUGGUCUGAGGGGACGACCAGCCACACUGGGACUGAGACACGGCCCAGACUCCUACGGGAGGCAGCAGUGGGGAAUUGUGGACAAUGGGCGAAAGCCUGAUCCAGCCAUUCCGCGUGCAGGAUGAAGGCCCUCGGGUUGUAAACUGCUUUUGUACAGAACGAAGAGGUUUCUACUAAUACUAGGAGCUCAUGACGGUACUGUAAGAAUAAGCACCGGCUAACUACGUGCCAGCCGCCGCGCGUAA
rnacentral:rRNA from 1 species